rnacentral:rRNA from 1 species
AUUGAACGCUGGCGGCAUGCCUUACACAUGCAAGUCGAACGGCAGCACGGGAGCAAUCCUGGUGGCGAGUGGCGAACGGGUGAGUAAAGUAUCGGAACGUGCCCAGUCGUGGGGGAUAACGUAGCGAAAGUUACGCUAAUACCGCAUACGAUCUAUGGAGGAAAGCGGGGGAUCGCAAGCCCUCGCGCGAUUGGAGCGGCCGAUAUCAGAUUAGGUAGUUGGUGGGGUAAAGGCUCACCAAGCCGACGAUCUGUAGCUGGUCUGAGAGGACGACCAGCCACACUGGGACUGAGACACGGCCCAGACUCCUACGGGAGGCAGCAGUGGGGAAUUUUGGACAAUGGGCGAAAGCCUGAUCCAGCCAUGCCGCGUGCAGGAUGAAGGCCUUCGGGUUGUAAACUGCUUUUGUACGGAACGAAAAGGUUUGGCCUAAUAAGCUGAGCUCAUGACGGUACCGUAAGAAUAAGCACCGGCUAACUACGUGCCAGCAGCCGCCGUAA